AUAGAUAUCAAUGGCUUAGAGUUACUCGUGUUAUUUUAUAUUUAUUUUUCAUUUCUCUUUCAGGAGUGAAUAUGUUUAUUUCUUAGUAAUAUGUUUUAGUCAUGUGUUUAGUGUAUUUUUAAUUGAGUAGAACUUAUUUUUCCUUCAGUGGAAGCAUCAGUUCAUAGCAGUAAUGCACACUGUACAGAUAAGACAAUUGAAGCUGCUGAAGCCCUGCUUCAUAUGGAAUCUCCUACCUGCUUGAGGGAUUCAAGAAGUCCUGAAUUUAUCCAUGCUGCUAUGAGGCCAGAUGUCAUUACAGAAACUGUAGUGGAGGUGUCAACUGAAGAGUCUGAACCCAUGGAUACCUCUCCUAUUCCAACAUCACCAGAUAGCCAUGAACCAAUGAAAAAGAAAAAAGUUGGCCGUAAACCAAAGACCCAGCAAUCACCAAUUUCCAAUGGGUCUCCUGAGUUAGGUAUAAAGAAGAAACCAAGAGAAGGAAAAGGAAACACAACCUAUUUGUGGGAGUUUCUUUUAGAUCUACUUCAAGAUAAAAAUACUUGUCCCAGGUAUAUUAAAUGGACUCAGAGAGAAAAAGGCAUAUUCAAGCUGGUGGAUUCAAAGGCUGUCUCUAAGCUUUGGGGAAAGCAUAAGAACAAACCAGACAUGAACUAUGAAACCAUGGGACGAGCUUUG
rnacentral:sRNA from 1 species